rnacentral:misc_RNA from 1 species
GAUGAAGAACGCAGCAAAAUGCGAUAAGUAAUGUGAAUUGCAGAAUUCAGUGAAUCAUCGAAUCUUUGAACGCACUUUGCGCCCGCCAGUAUUCUGGCGGGCAUGCCUGUUCGAGCGUCAUUUCAACCCUCAAGCCCUCGGGUUUGGUGUUGGGGAUCGGCGAGCCUUUCUGGCAAGCCGGCCCCGAAAUCUAGUGGCGGUCUCGCUGCAGCCUCCAUUGCGUAGUAGUAAAACCCUCGCAACUGGAACGCGGCGCGGCCAAGCCGUUAAACCCCCAACUUCUGAAUGUUGACCUCGGAUCAGGUAGGAAUACCCGCUGAACUUAAGCAUAUCAAUAAGCGGAGGA